UUUUGUGUCUCAAAAAUUACAACACCCAUCCUCUUGUCUGCAAGUUAUAAGCAUACACACACAAGACCAAAGAAAAUAACAUUGGAUGAUACCCACAUAAAGAGAUUAUAAAACCUCACCUCCUCUCUCGAUUAUACCUGCACAAACAAAACAAAAAGAGCAGACACCUAAAUUCAUUCAUUUCUCCAACAAUACACACUCAAAUUUCACUCUCUUCUCUCUCGGUUUCAUAUACAACCACAGAAAAAUCAACUCUCACAAACAUAACCCAAAUCAAACCCUAAGAACACACACACACACAACCUGCUCUCACCCUCUCGAUCUACUGGCACGAAGAUCGGAGCCGGAACCGGUGUUGAUGCCGGCGAUUUUUCUGGCGAGACACACCCCCCCUUCACUUAUCUCUCGUCUCACCUCACGGAUCCGACCGCUGGAGCCGAUUAACCGACCGGCUGCCGGUGGUUCGGUGGCUCGGUCAACCUGCAAGCAGCCCCCCUUCCUCGUUAGAUGAAACGGACCACCACCACCGUCUGGUGGUGGUGUUCGGCGGUUACAAUAGAAAGAGAGAGAGACGAGACGGAGAGAGAGGAGCGAUGAGAGAGAGAGAGAUGUGGCGGCGAGGCAGCGGCGCUCACGGCGGCGACGGUGACGGACGGUAGUGGCGGUGUGGCGGUGGUUCGGGCCUUUGGUCCGACAUGUCUUCCGUAGGUUGGUUAUGUUGGUUCGGUCAUCUCGAAUCUUAGUUACGGGUUUCUCAGGUCAGGCGGUUCGGGUCUCAGGUCCGGGUCAGAUUCAACUGGUUUCGGUUCGGUCAACGAUGGACUCGGGUCAGCUGGUCAACGGUCGAGGAGGGUCAAGUCAGCAGUUUCGUGACGGGUUCGGCUCGACUCAGUCCAACUCGGUUUGACUCGGUGUAUUUCGGCUCAACUCGGUCCAACUCGGUCAACCGAGUCAACUCAGUCAGUCAACUCAGUUGACCUGGUCAACUCAGUCAACACAUUCGGCUUUUCGACACAAGAUUCGGGAUAUUGUAGAAUGCACGUUAGCAAGCCACGUCUUGGAAACGACAUCAUCGAAGUCGUAAUUAGCUAGCUUUGCACAAGGAACAUUCAGGUUGUUUUUUAAAGUCAAGGCACGGUUGUAAUAGGAGGACCAUUGGAGACUCGAGUACUUAGUGGGCGUUCAGUUUCUAGAAAGACUUAGCUUAUUUGCUUCCGCUGUGCAAUGAAGAUACCAGUCCAGUCACGCCAAUGCUCUGAUAUUUCGGGGUGUGACAAGAUUCACGUCCAAUUUUAUGUUUUUCUAACUUUUGUGUGAAAAGAAGAAAAUUUCAGUAAGAAUAGAGUAGAAAGUGAGAGAAUAUGUCUUUUUCCGGUGAAAUUUGACUCUGAUCGGCAAGAAGUAGCUCGAAUUCCAGUGAAUUCGUUGUCGUA